AUUAGUCAUGUUACCAUCCAGAUAGAGCGGUAGUGGAGGAAAUGGAUCAACUCGUAUUAUCUGGAGCCUCUUGUUUCUGAAACUUCCAGUUUUUCCAUCGUGUGGGUGGCGAUAUGUUAUCUCUGCAGUGGUAGCUUUGAGUAUUGAUCUUUAAAAGUGAUAUUUAGGUGGUAGAUAUAAAAAUGUUAUCAUUUAGACUAUUAUUUGUAUGACUGCUGCUUGUUUAUGUAAUAUAUCGCCACCCACACGAUGGAAAAACUG
rnacentral:misc_RNA from 1 species